GGGUCAGUAGGUUGGUCGUGCCACCGGUACGUACUGGUCUCACUGAUUCCUCCUUCCUGAAGAACCGUAAUGCCAUUAAUUUGGUGUUGCGGGGAGACAGGACUGUUACUUUGAAAAAAUUAGAGUGUUUAAAGCAAGCUAACGCUUGAAUACAUUAGCAUGGAGUAAUGAAAUAGGACGAUCGAUCCUAUUUUGUUGGUUUCUAGGAUUGACGUA
rnacentral:rRNA from 1 species